UGGAUUCCACCUGGUGAGCGAAGAAACUUCAUAACAACUGCCGCAGGCACACGACACAGCAGUUGCAGGGAAGCCGUGAACAACGGGAGGCUCACAGUAACGCAAGCACCCCAGACAGUGCUGCUGCUCCGUCAUGACUAACAAACUGCUCCUCUGCCUACUGGUGACAGCGAUGGUGCUGGCGGUCGUAACUGCUGGGACAACGCUGCCGAGGUGCUGCCCUUUCGACCCCUGCGCAGCCACGACGUGUCUGCCGGGUUCUGACUGCGUGCCUGAAGUUGUCGUGGAGGACAAGAACCUCGUGUGCAGAGGAAAGUGCGUCGCUCCCUCCAGCUGAAGCUUCUGCCACGCAGAAACAACGUUUUAAUCAGAAAAUUGUGUCAAUACUUGUCCUCUUUGAGUGUUGUACAAAUAAAUUUAAAUUCGCUUAAAUAAAGUUAUCUGUAAAGAGGAA